rnacentral:rRNA from 1 species
GUUAGGAAUAUUGGACAAUGGGCGCAAGCCUGAUCCAGCCAUGCCGCGUGAGUGAUGAAGGCCUUCGGGUUGUAAAGCUCUUUAGCCGAUGAUUAUAAUGACUGUAGUCGGAAAAUAAGCCCCGGCUAACUUCGUGCCAGCAGCCGCGGUAAUACGAAGGGGGCGAGCGUUAUUCGGAAUCACUGGGCGUAAAGCGUGCGUAGGCGGCUUUGCAAGUUGGGAGUGAAAGCCCAGGGCUCAACCCUGGAAUUGCUCUCAAAACUGCAAGGCUCGAAUUCGGGAGAGGAUAGCGGAAUAGUCAGUGUAGCAGUGAAAUGCGUAGAUAUUGACAGGAACACCAGUGGCGUAAGCGGCUAUCUGGACCAAUAUUGACGCUGAGGCACGAAAGCGUGGGGAGCAAACAGGAUUAGAAACCCGUGUAGUCC